ACCGGGCACAGCGGCACAUGCUUGUAGUCCCAGCUACUCAGGAGGAUGAGGUGGGAGGAUUGCUCGAGCCCAGGCAUUAUGGGCUGUAGCGUGCUAUGCCGAAAGGGUGUCUGCACUAAGUUCGGCAUCAAUAUGGUGACCUCCCAGGAGCGGGGCCCAGCAGGUUGCCUAAGGAGGGGUGAGCCGGCCCAGAUCAGAAACAAAGCAGGUCAAAACUCCCGUGCUGAUUAGCAGUGGGAUCGCACCUCUACAUAGCCACUGUACUCCAGCCUGAGCAACACAGCGAGACCGUGUCUCU
rnacentral:SRP_RNA from 1 species